GAUUCCAUAUGAGAUAUGGAUCGGACAUGGACCUACACUCUCUCACCUUUGGGUUUGGAGUUGAUCGGCCUAUGUUAAAGGUUUGCAUACAGAUAAACUUGGUUAUUGGUCCAAUAGGUGUUUAAGGGUUACUAAUUCUAUCAUGCUGAAGAACAUAAGAUGCUCAUCAGCAGUAGGGCAUUCCUUUUGGAAAGGAGUUCCUUAGAGAAGGAACUGAUGCCUAUCAAGUUGAACUUGAAAGUUUGACUGGUAGAAAAUAAACCGACAUAAUCUAGUAAACCUAUAGAAUCGGAUUUGAUU
rnacentral:lncRNA from 1 species